ensembl:lncRNA LINC00595 long intergenic non-protein coding RNA 595
CAACUGCUUGAGCUAAGAGCAAGCUCAGUGUUUCCUUCAAGCAGCAUCGUGGACAGAUUCCUGCCAGACCCUUCAGAGCAAGCACCCCACACCCCUAGCCCAGGGUCUCUUCAUCGAUAGGGGGUGAUCUGUCUGCCCCUCACUGUUUUCUCCAAAUAGCAUCUCCAAAUGGACUAGACUCGACAAGCAAACAGUCUGCAGUGGACCCCUUGGGUCAUCCAUUCUGAUGGAAACAGAAAUAGAAUUCCAGCCCGGUGGAGUGGAGAAGGCUCCAGGAGGGCGUCGGGCCCAACCACCUUGCGUUAUGGAGCACAGAGAGGGAUUCUGCUGUGGUCACAUAGCACCUAAGUGGUUGCAGCAGCCUCAGAACAGGCUGUCCUGCCU